rnacentral:rRNA from 1 species
CCUACGGGCGGCUGCAGUGGGGAAUAUUGCGCAAUGGGCGAAAGCCUGACGCAGCGACGCCGCGUGAGGGAUGAAGGUCUUCGGAUCGUAAACCUCUGUCAGCAGGGAAGAACGGUCACUGUGCUAAUCAGCAGUGAAUUGACGGUACCUGCAAAGGAAGCACCGGCUAACUCCGUGCCAGCAGCCGCGGUAAUACGGAGGGUGCGAGCGUUAAUCGGAAUUACUGGGCGUAAAGCGGUCGUAGGCGGUAUGUCAAGUCAAGGGUGAAAUCCCCGCGCUCAACGUGGGAACUGCCGUUGAAACGGGCAGACUGGAGUGUGUGAGAGGAUAGUGGAAUUCCCGGUGUAGGAGUGAAAUCCGUAGAUAUCUGGAGGAACAUCAGUGGCGAAGGCGACUAUCUGGCACAUAACUGACGCUGAGGAGCGAAAGCGUGGGUAGCAAACAGGAUUAGAUACCCGAGUAGUC